rnacentral:rRNA from 1 species
GACGAACGCUGGCGGCGUGCUUAACACAUGCAAGUCGAACGGUGAACCUCUUCGGAGGGGAUCAGUGGCGAACGGGUGAGUAACACGUGGGCAACCUGCCCCCGGCUCUGGGAUAACUCCAAGAAAUUGGGGCUAAUACCGGAUGUUCACCGCUUCCCGCAUGGGUGGUGGUGGAAAGGGUUUCCGGCUGGGGGUGGGCCCGCGGCCUAUCAGCUUGUUGGUGGGGUAGUGGCCUACCAAGGCGACGACGGGUAGCCGGCCUGAGAGGGUGACCGGCCACACUGGGACUGAGACACGGCCCAGCCUCCUACGGGAGGCAGCAGUGGGGAAUAUUGCGCAAUGGGCGGAAGCCUGACGCAGCGACGCCGCGUGGGGGAUAACGGCCUUCGGGUUGUAAACCUCUUUCAGCAGGGACGAAGCGCAAGUGACGGUACCUGCAGAAGAAGCACCGGCCAACUACGUG